rnacentral:rRNA from 1 species
UACAGAGGGGGCAAGCGUUAUUCGGAAUUAUUGGGCGUAAAGGGCGCGUAGGCGGCCUGGCAAGUGGAAGGUGAAAUCCCUCGGCUUAACCGAGGAACUGCCCUCCAAACUGCUUGGCUUGAGUCCGGGAGAGGUGAGUGGAAUUCCCAGUGUAGCGGUGAAAUGCGUAGAUAUUGGGAGGAACACCAGUGGCGAAGGCGGCUCACUGGACCGGAACUGACGCUGAGGUGCGAAAGCGUGGGGAGCGAACAGG